UACAGAGGAGCCAAGCGUUGUCCGGAUUGACUGGGCGUAAAGCGCACGCAGGCGGUCGCGCGCGUGGGGUGUGAAAUCUGGCCGCUUAACGGCCAGGCGCCAUCCCAUACGGCGCGACUGGAGUGAUGCAGAGGUCGGUGGAAUUGCCGGUGUAGUGGUGAAAUGCGUAGAGAUCGGGCAGGGAACACCCAGGGGGGAAACCCAGCCGGACUGGGCAUUGACUGACGCUGAGGUGCGAGAGCGUGGGGAGCGAACCGG
rnacentral:rRNA from 1 species